GACGAACGCUGGCGGCGUGCUUAACACAUGCAAGUCGAACGGAAAGGCCCUGCUUGCAGGGUACUCGAGUGGCGAACGGGUGAGUAACACGUGGGUGAUCUGCCCUGCACUUCGGGAUAAGCCUGGGAAACUGGGUCUAAUACCGGAUAGGAGCCAUUUUUAGUGUGAUGGUUGGAAAGUUUUUUCGGUGUAGGAUGAGCUCGCGGCCUAUCAGCUUGUUGGUGGGGUAAUGGCCUACCAAGGCGGCGACGGGUAGCCGGCCUGAGAGGGUGGACGGCCACAUUGGGACUGAGAUACGGCCCAGACUCCUACGGGAGGCAGCAGUGGGGAAUAUUGCACAAUGGGCGCAAGCCUGAUGCAGCGACGCCGCGUGGGGGAUGACGGCCUUCGGGUUGUAAACGCCUUUCGCUAGGGACGAAGCUUUUUGUGACGGUACCUAGAUAAAAAGCACCGGCUAACUACGUG
rnacentral:rRNA from 1 species